CUAAGAUUUUAUGGGCACAACAACGCCAUUUUGGAGUAGCUCAAUUCCAUGUCACAAUAUGUUUGAAAAAACUGGCAACCGAUGGAACAUAAAGCCUUCUAUGGGAAAGAGUUCACUCCUGCAAGGAUCAUAAAAGAUGAUAGUAAUGUCAUUAUUUACACUUUCUACCAGUCUCUCAACUAGGAUGACAAAUGGACAAAAACCGGAGGUAGUCUUAUGAUGCUAUCAACAGACACAGCCGAAGAACUCAAUUUGAAUGUAACCAUUGAUUCGGCUCAACAAAAACGAAUGGAUGACACGUAGUGCAGACACAUUGCACAGAGCACAAAAAGCAUUAUUCAAACGACAAUCAAUUAACAUGUAAUUAAGGUUGAUGAUGAAGAAAAA
rnacentral:lncRNA from 1 species